rnacentral:rRNA from 1 species
GACGUAGGGCGCGAGCGUUGUCCGGAUUUAUUGGGCGUAAAGAGCUCGUAGGCGGUGUGUCACGUCGGCCGUGAAAACCUGGGGCUUAACUCUGGGCGUGCGGUCGAUACGGGCAUCACUAGAGUUCGGCAGGGGAGACUGGAAUUCUGGUGUAGCGGUGAAAUGCGCAGAUAUCAGGAGGAACACCGGUGGCGAAGGCGGGUCUCUGGGGCCGAAUACUGACGCUGAGGGGCGAAAGCAUGGGGAGCGAACAGG